CCUACGGGGGGCAGCAGUGGGGAAUAUUGCACAAUGGGGGAAACCCUGAAGCAGCGACGCCGCGGGAGUGAAGAAGGAUUUCGGUACGUAAAGCUCUAUCAGCAGGGAAGAAAAUGACGGUACCUGACGAAGAAGCCCCGGCUAACGACGGGCCAGCAGCCGCGGUAAGACGUAGGGGGCAAGCGUUAUCCGGAUUUACUGGGUGUAAAGGGAGCGUAGACGGCAGCGCAAGUAUGGAGUGAAAUCCCAUGGCUUAACCAUGGAACUGCUUUGGAAACUGUGCAGCUGGAGUGCAGGAGCGGUAAGCGGACUUCCUCGUGUAGCGGUGCACUGCGUAGAUCUUAGGCG
rnacentral:rRNA from 1 species